UACGGGGGGGGCAAGCGUUGUUCGGAAUUACUGGGCGUAAAGGGCUCGUAGGUGGCCAACUAAGUCGGACGUGAAAUCCCUCGGCUUAACCGGGGAACUGCGUCCGAUACUGGAUGGCUUGAGUCUGGGAGAGGGAUGCGGAAUUCCAGGUGUAGCGGUGAAAUGCGUAGAUAUCUGGAGGAACACCGGUGGCGAAGGCGGCAUCCUGGACCAACACUGGCACUGAGGAGCGAAAGCCAGGGGAGCAAACGGG
rnacentral:rRNA from 1 species